AGCAGCCGCGGUAAUUCCAGCUCCAAUAGCGUAUAUUAAAGUUGUUGCAGUUAAAAGCUCGUAGUUGAAUUUCGGGGUUAGUAGGUUGGUCAUGCCUCUGGUAUGUACUGGUCUCACUGAUUCCUCCUUCCUGAUGAGCCGUAAUGCCAUUAAUUUGGUGUUGCGGGGAAUCAGGACUGUUACUUUGAAAAAUUAGAGUGUUUAAGGCAGGCUCACGCUUGAAUACAUUAGCAUGGAAUAAUGAAAUAGGACGUUUGAUUCUAUUUUGUUGGUUUCUAGGAUCGACGUAAUGAUUAAUAGGGAUAGUUGGGGGCAUUAGUAUUCAAUUGUCAGAGGUGAAAUUCUUGGAUUUAUUGAAGACUAACUACUGCGAAAGCAUUUGCCAAGGAUGUUUUCAUUAAUCAAGAACGAAAGUUAGGGGAUCGAAGACGAUCAGAUACCGUCGUAGUCUUAACCAUAAACUAUGCCGACUAGGGAUCGGAUGAUGUAAUUUUAUGACUCA
rnacentral:misc_RNA from 1 species